rnacentral:rRNA from 1 species
CGGCGGUGCCUGUUCCGACAGCCCGCCAGAGGACCCCAAACCCUGAUUACAUUUAAGAAGUCUUCUGAGUAAACCGAUUAAAUAAAUCAAAACUUUCAACAACGGAUCUCUUGGUUCUGGCAUCGAUGAAGAACGCAGCGAAAUGCGAUAAGUAAUGUGAAUUGCAGAAUUCAGUGAAUCAUCGAAUCUUUGAACGCACAUUGCGCCCGCUAGUAUUCUGGCGGGCAUGCCUGUCCGAGCGUCAUUUCAACCCUCAAGCCCCCGGGCUUGGUGUUGGGGAUCGGCGAGCCUCCGCGCCCGCCGUCCCCUAAAUCUAGUGGCGGUCUCGCUGUAGCUUCCUCUGCGUAGUAGCACACCUCGCACUGGGAAACAGCGCGGCCACGCCGUUAAACCCCCAACUUCUGAACGUUUGACCUCGGAUCAGGUAGGAAUACCCGCUGAACUUAAGCAUAUCAAUAAGCGGAGGAACG